AACAAACUAACAACCAUUUCCAAAUUGUUACAAUGUUGUAAACUUUUAAGACCCGGAGACCGGAGUAAUCAGAUCGAUGGACGAUGGUUCUGUUGGAUUUAUGUAAAAGCUGGUCGAGGAUUCCACCGUCCUGGUCGAGUUUACAAAAUACC
rnacentral:sRNA from 1 species